UCCCUGGUGGUCCAAAGAUUAGGACUCCGAACUUCCACUGCAGAGGGCCUGGGUUCAAUCCCUGGUCAGGAAA
rnacentral:tRNA from 1 species